GAUGAACGCUGGCGGCGUGCCUAAUACAUGCAAGUCGAGCGAACAGACGAGGAGCUUGCUCCUCUGACGUUAGCGGCGGACGGGUGAGUAACACGUGGAUAACCUACCUAUAAGACUGGGAUAACUUCGGGAAACCGGAGCUAAUACCGGAUAAUAUAUUGAACCGCAUGGUUCAAUAGUGAAAGACGGUUUUGCUGUCACUUAUAGAUGGAUCCGCGCCGCAUUAGCUAGUUGGUAAGGUAACGGCUUACCAAGCCAACGAUGCGUAGCCGACCUGAGAGGGUGAUCGGCCACACUGGAACUGAGACACGGUCCAGACUCCUACGGGAGGCAGCAGUAGGGAAUCUUCCGCAAUGGGCGAAAGCCUGACGGAGCAACGCCGCGUGAGUGAUGAAGGUCUUCGGAUCGUAAAACUCUGUUAUUAGGGAAGAACAAAUGUGUAAGUAAGUAUGCACGUCUUGACGGUACCUAAUCAGAAAGCCACGGCUAACUACGUG
rnacentral:rRNA from 1 species